CCAGCUGCUGCCAGCCUGCGGACCCAGGGGAAGUCCACAGCCUCGUGCCUGUGGAUCCUCCCCAGCUCACAGGAAACCCCUAAGAAAAGGGCCACAGCACCCACAGAGCGACGCCACCCACCGGCUCCAAAAUGUGUACGGGCACCGGCAGCUGGGGAACCUCUCGCCACAGGGCACGUCUGUAUUCACCACCGUUUUGAAGGGCUGUGGGAUGAAGAAGCUCUUGGAGACGCAAGGGAUGGAAUCGGAUGGGAGGAGGGAAGUGCGACGCACGUGCAGAUGAGGGGGACAAGAAAGCAGACUCCCCUUUUUAACGUCGUUAUUUUGACGCAUUUCAAAACUCAAAACAUUCUGUGUACCUCGCAGCAGAUUAGAUGUAAACGCUUGUUGGUAUUUAUAUGCCCUACAGUUUUAUUUCAUUUAAUAGCGUUUUCACCUUGAAGGAGGUUCAUUAAACUUGAUUUGCUGCAGUUUGCAACCCAGUAGAUAAUCUGCAGGCUGUUGACACCGUAAUACUGUGAUGGUGUGUAUGCCAUUAAAAAUGGCCCAGAAGUGUCCGUCUAUAGAUCCUCAACGCAAUACAUUGUGUCAGUGUACAGUAUAGAUCCUUUAAUCCAUAGACUAUUAUUAAAAUAGUGGAUUAAGGAGUUGUUUGGGAUCAGACCCUGCUGUAUAUGUAACAAAACAGUUUAGCUGAGAUUAGUAUUUAUUACUGGACAGAAAAAUUGAUUGAAGGAUUCGUAGACGCUGAUAAUAUCACAGCCUGGGAGACAUUAAUGUAUUUGAUUAUUGUUUUUUUUUGCCAUACGAGUCCUUGUUAAGGCCUGAGAAUAAAAUAGUAACUUUUAGUGAAAAUGUAAAAAACUAAAUAACUGGAGUAAAUCUAUUAUGUAUUAAAAUAGUUUUACUUCAUGCUAAUAUAAAAUACGGUGUUUAGAUGCUUUAAAACACAGCGUAUGAGAAUGUGCAUGGAAAGGACAUUCAGACUUGUGAAAUACUAACUUAAA